ACAAGCCCUGGAAACGGGGUCUAAUACCGGAUAUGACCUGCCGAGGCAUCUUGGUGGGUGUAAAGCUCCGGCGGUGCAGGAUGAGCCCGCGGCCUAUCAGCUUGUUGGUGGGGUGAUGGCCUACCAAGGCGACGACGGGUAGCCGGCCUGAGAGGGCGACCGGCCACACUGGGACUGAGACACGGCCCAGACUCCUACGGGAGGCAGCAGUGGGGAAUAUUGCACAAUGGGCGAAAGCCUGAUGCAGCGACGCCGCGUGAGGGAUGACGGCCUUCGGGUUGUAAACCUCUUUCAGCAGGGAAGAAGCGCAAGUGACGGUACCUGCAGAAGAAGCACCGGCUAACUACGUGCCAGCAGCCGCGGUAAUACGUAGGGUGCGAGCGUUGUCCGGAAUUAUUGGGCGUAAAGAGCUCGUAGGCGGCUUGUCGCGUCGGAUGUGAAAGCCCGGGGCUUAACCCCGGGUCUGCAUUCGAUACGGGCAGGCUAGAGUUCGGUAGGGGAGAUCGGAAUUCCUGGUGUAGCGGUGAAAUGCGCAGAUAUCAGGAGGAACACCGGUGGCGAAGGCGGAUCUCUGGGCCGAUACUGACGCUG
rnacentral:rRNA from 1 species